rnacentral:hammerhead_ribozyme from 1 species
CUUCAGCUGACGAGUCCCAAAUAGGACAAAACGAGCGUCCUGCAU